rnacentral:rRNA from 1 species
GACGAACGCUGGUGGCGUGCCUAAUACAUGCAAGUCGAGCGGACCAAUAGAAGCUUGCUUCUGUUGGUUAGCGGCGGACGGGUGAGUAACACGUGGGCAACCUGCCUGUAAGACUGGGAUAACUUCGGGAAACCGGAGCUAAUACCGGAUAAUUCAUCCCCUCGCAUGAGGGGAUGCUGAAAGUCGGUUUACGCUGACACUCACAGAUGGGCCCGCGGCGCAUUAGCUAGUUGGUGAGGUAAUGGCUCACCAAGGCGACGAUGCGUAGCCGACCUGAGAGGGUGAUCGGCCACACUGGGACCGAGACACGGACCAGACUCCUACGGGAGGCAGCAGUAGGGAAUCUUCCACAAUGGACGAAAGUCUGAUGGAGCAACGCCGCGUGAGCGAUGAAGGCCUUCGGGUCGUAAAGCUCUGUUGUUAGGGAAGAACAAGUAUCGGAGUAACUGCCGGUACCUUGACGGUACCUAACCAGAAAGCCACGGCUAACUACGUGCCAGCAGCCGCGGUAA